GGGGUUGUGGCUCAGCGGUAGAGCACUCGCCUAGCACGUGAGAGGCGCUGGGUUUGAGCCUCAGCACCACA
rnacentral:tRNA from 1 species